UACGUAGGUGGCGAGCGUUGUCCGGAUUUACUGGGCGUAAAGGGCGCGUAGGCGGUCAGCACAAGUCAGUUGUGAAAUCUCCGGGCUUAACUCGGAAAGGUCAACUGAUACUGUGCGACUAGAGUGCAGAAGGGGCAACUGGAAUUCUCGGUGUAGCGGUGAAAUGCGUAGAUAUCGAGAGGAACACCUGCGGCGAAGGCGGGUUGCUGGGCUGACACUGACGCUGAUGCGCGAAAGCCAGGGGAGCGAACGGG
rnacentral:rRNA from 1 species